GAACAAUGCUGUAAAAUCGGUUAACGAAACAUGUUAAAAGGCUAAACCGAGCAUUUCAAAAGACUAUGCACAAUAUCGAUUUAAUGACCUAAAUACUGGUUUUCAGAAAACAUAUACUAUCAUACAGUUAUGUAAACUAAAUUAUAACCGGAUAAUAAAACACGUAAUCUAUCAGGAAGUCACGACUGAUGAAGAUUGUACAGCAGAAUAAAAAUGAUUGAUCAUUUGGGAUUAUCUCUUGUCCUUGAAAUAUAUUUAAACAAGUGCAGAGAUAUUUUUGCCAGAGCUUUUGUUCUUUUGCAUGAAUGUUCAAAAAGACGAAAUAUAUAUAAAUGAAAAAAGAAAAAUUUGAGAUAUUCAGCGAAAAUUCUAUGUAAAUCAGAACUACGGAGUAUGUGCUCAUGAUCAAGGAUGGAUGUACGUCCUUGAUAAAAGAAAGAUGCUGUCCAUAUGAAUGCAUUUGCUCGAUUCCUAUGUUCCUUUAUACAAAGCACUUCACAGAUAGAAACUGGACAUGUAGAAAGUACAAAGGGAGUCAUCUCCACAUUGAUACAUUGUUUGCGAAGACAUGGCACAGCCAGCGGAUAUGAUGGUUAUUUCAGUACGUGCAGACUUAUCAAGAACUGAUUAAUAAGGACAACGUUUUGUUUUAAAAGAGUAUGGCAACUGACCUGACAUCACACGAUAUAUGGAACAUUAUGCUUUUCUUAAAUUUGAUAUCAAUAAUUCAAUUAGUUUUUAUUGUAAACAUAUUUGUAUAGACCGGUUAAAGUACCGGAUCUGGCUCCUUUUAAGAUAAAUCUGAUUUUACCUGAAUUAUGAUAGUGUUAACAAUUUUCCAAUUAAAAACUUGCUACACAC